rnacentral:rRNA from 1 species
AACUAUUCUCGGCUCUCGCAUAGAUGAAGAACAUAGUGAAAUGAGAUACUUGGUGUGAACUGCCGAAUCCUGUGAAUCAGUGGAGUCUUUGAACACAAGUUGCGCCCAAAGCCAUUAGGUCGAGGGCACGUCUCCCUGGGUGUUG